rnacentral:tRNA from 1 species
GGGUAUAGCUCAGUUGGUAGAGCGGUGGUCUCCAAAACCACAGGUCGAGGGUUCAAAUCCUUCUGCCC